rnacentral:lncRNA from 1 species
UCCUACAGGUGUCCUCCUUGCUCAGUGCAUUCCGGCCACAUUGACCUCUCUACAGUUUGAAUACCUCGCCGGCCUGUCCCUCCCCAGGUUCCUUGCUGUUUCCUGCCUGCAACAUCUUUUCUCCACUUAUCUGCUUGGUUUUCUCCCUCACCUCCAUCAAGUCUUGGCUCAAAUAUCAUUUUCCUGUGGUAUAGUGAUCAGUGCACACCUGGAGCCGCAGCUGCUAGGGAGGCUGAGGCAGGAGGAUCCCUUGAACCCAGGAGCGCAAGGCCAACCUGGGCAACAUAAUGAAACCCUGGAUCAAAAAAAAAAAGUGGCAAAAUAUAUAGAACUUAUGUUCUUAAUCAUCAUAGGUGUAAUGAUUAACUCAUUUCAUAUUAAUAUGCAACUAUCACCACCAUCCAUCUCCAGAACUUUAUGUUUCUAAACUAAUUUUCUGCCACGUUAAACAGUAACUCUCCAGUCUCCUUUCCCCAGCCCUUGCCACUCACCAUUGUACUUUGCUAUGAUUUGAGCU